ensembl:lncRNA CATSPER2P1 CATSPER2 pseudogene 1
GGCCGGAGCGCGGGGCGGGGCCGAGGCGGCGAGUGUCUGGGCGAGCGUGGCUGGGCCCGGUCCUGGGCUGGGGGCAGGGGCUAGGGCCGGGUCCCGGGCAGACAUGGCCGCUUACCAACAAGAAGGGCAGAUGCAGCUUCCCCGAGCUGAUGCCAUUCGUUCACGUCUCAUCGAUACUUUCUCUCUCAUCGAGCAUUUGCAAGGCUUGAGCCAAGCUGUGCUGCGACACACUAUCAGGAGUUACUUGAUCCUUCCCGCCAGAAGAAACUUAUGUUGGGAGAUCAACACCAGCUAGUGGGCGUCUCUAUAAAGCCUCAACGUAUAGAACAGAUUUCACAUGCCCAGAGGCUGUUGAGCAGGCUUCAUGUGCGCUGCAGUCAGAGGCCACCUCUUUCUUUGUGGGCCGGAUGGGUCCUUGAGUAAUUGCUGGAAUCCACAAAUACCAAACUAUGGCCAUUGAAGCUGACCUUGGAGGGGGCAGCUUGGUUUAUCUUGCUUAUUUUCAUCCUGGAGAUCCUUCUUAAGUGGCUAUCCAACUUUUCUGUUUUCUGGAAGAGUGCCUGGAAUGUCUUUGACUUUGUUGUUACCAUGUUGGUAAGGAUAGAGAUCCUGAGGGUUCGUUUAGUGGGAUGAAGAAUGUGCCUAGGUGAAUCGAAAGAACAAGUUAACAUGAUAAUAGGAAGAAACAAAAAUUUACUUAACUUCUUUCUUUUGAUUUUUUUUUCCUAAAACUAAACAUCAAUCAUUGCAGGAGUUGUUGGUAUUAGGAGCAAAGUAGACUAACUACAACAUCAAUGCCAACAAGAGCAUCUGCCGGUUACUGAGCACUUACUAAGUGCCAAGCACUAUUUUAAGUGUUUUCCUUACAUUAUCUCAUUUAUGCUCCACAACAACCUAAUUAAAUAACCAUGAAUUUUA